CCAAUAGCGUAUAUUAAAGUUGUUGCAGUUAAAAAGCUCGUAGUUGAAUUUCGGGGUUCAUCCGUUGGUCGGGCUUUUUGGUCUGUACUGGCGUGAUGGAUUCCUACCUUCUGAAUAACCGGCAUGCCAUUAAUUUGGUGCGCCGGGGAAGCAGGACUGUUACCUUGAAAAAAUUAGAGUGCUUAAAGCAGGCUUAUGCCUGAAUACAUUAGCAUGGAAUAAUGAAAUAGGACGGCAUGGUUCUAUUUUGUUGGUUUCUAGGAUCACCGUAAUGAUUAAUAGGGAUAGUUGGGGGCAUUAGUAUUCAAUUGUCAGAGGUGAAAUUCUUGGAUUUAUUGAAGACUAACUUCUGCGAAAGCAUUUGCCAAGGAUGUUUUCAUUAAUCAAGAACGAAAGUUAGGGGAUCGAAGACGAUCAGAUACCGUCGUAGUCUUAACCAUAAACUAUGCCGACUAGGGAUCGGACGAUGUUAAUUUUUUAAUGACUCGUUCGGCGCCUUACG
rnacentral:rRNA from 1 species